GAUAAACGCUGGCGGCGUGCAUAACACAUGCAAGUCGAACGAAGUGGCGAAAGGGUGAGUAACACGUGAGUAACCUGCCUUACACACGGGGAUAGCCUUUGGAAACGAAAAAUAAUACCCUAUAGUGUAAGAUGGACUUGCGUCUGAUUAGGUAGUUGGUGAGAUAAAAGCCCACCAAGGCGAAGAUCAGUAGCCGGCUUGAGAGGGUUGACGUCCACAUGGGGACUGAGAGACGGCCCCAACACUACUGGAGGCAGCUGUGGGGAAUUUUGCACAAUGGGGGAAACCCUGAUGCAGCGACGCCGCGUGAUUUAGAAGGCCUUCGGGUUGUAAACCUCUUCGCUAUCGAACACUAUAGGGUGGGUUGAGGGUAGGUGGAGAAGAAGCGCCGGCUAACUACGUGCCAGCAGCCGCGGUAAUAC
rnacentral:rRNA from 1 species